GACGAACGCUGGCGGCGUGCUAAACACAUGCAAGUCGAACGGUGAAGCUCCAGCUUGCUGGAGUGGAUCAGUGGCGAACGGGUGAGUAACACGUGAGCAACCUGCCCCAGACUCUGGAAUAAGCGCUGGAAACGGCGUCUAAUACUGGAUACGAGAUCAAGCCGCAUGGUUAUGGUCUGGAAAGUUUUUCGGUUUGGGAUGGGCUCGCGGCCUAUCAGCUUGUUGGUGAGGUAAUGGCUCACCAAGGCGACGACGGGUAGCCGGCCUGAGAGGGCGACCGGCCACACUGGGACUGAGACACGGCCCAGACUCCUACGGGAGGCAGCAGUGGGGAAUAUUGCACAAUGGGCGAAAGCCUGAUGCAGCGACGCCGCGUGAGGGAUGACGGCCUUCGGGUUGUAAACCUCUUUCAGCAGGGAAGAAGCGAAAGUGACGGUACCUGCAGAAGAAGCACCGGCUAACUACGUG
rnacentral:rRNA from 1 species